rnacentral:rRNA from 1 species
AACGAACGCUGGCGGCAGGCUUAACACAUGCAAGUCGAACGGGCAUAGCAAUAUGUCAGUGGCAGACGGGUGAGUAACGCGUGGGAAUCUACCGUACCCUACGGAAUAACGCAUGGAAACGUGUGCUAAUACCGUAUACGCCCCCCUUUAAAAUAUCAGGGAAUCAUAAAAUGCCUGGCAUUUUAUGGGGGGGAAAGAUUUAUCGGGGUAUGAUGAGCCCGCGUUGGAUUAGCUAGUUGGUGGGGUAAAGGCCUACCAAGGCGACGAUCCAUAGCUGGUCUGAGAGGAUGAUCAGCCACAUUGGGACUGAGACACGGCCCAAAACUCCUACGGGAGGCAGCAGUGGGGAAUAUUGGACAAUGGGCGCAAGCCUGAUCCAGCCAUGCCGCGUGAGUGAUGAAGGCCCUAGGGUUGUAAAGCUCUUUCACCGAUGAAGAUAAUGACGGUAGUCGGAGAAGAAGCCCCGGCUAACUUCGUGCCAGCAGCCGCGGUAAAAGUA